rnacentral:rRNA from 1 species
AUUGAACGCUGGCGGCAUGCCUUACACAUGCAAGUCGAACGGCAGCACGGGAGCAAUCCUGGUGGCGAGUGGCGAACGGGUGAGUAAAGUAUCGGAACGUGCCAGUCGUGGGGGAUAACGUAGCGAAAGUUACGCUAAUACCGCAUACGAUCUAUGGAUGAAAGCGGGGGAUCGCAAGACCUCGCGCGAUUGGAGCGGACGAUAUCAGAUUAGGUAGUUGGUGGGGUAAAGGCCCACCAAGCCGACGAUCUGUAGCUGGUCUGAGAGGACGACCGGCCACACUGGGACUGAGACACGGCCCAGACUCCUACGGGAGGCAGCAGUGGGGAAUUUUGGACAAUGGGCGAAAGCCUGAUCCAGCCAUGCCGCGUGCAGGAUGAAGGCCUUCGGGUUGUAAACUGCUUUUGUACGGAACGAAAAGGACUGCCCUAAUACGGUGGUCCCAUGACGGUACCGUAAGAAUAAGCACCGGCUAACUACGUGCCAGCCGCCGCCGUAA